rnacentral:lncRNA from 1 species
GGGGUUGGCCAACUAUCAAUGUAUAGAGCACAUUGAUAGCAAAGUUGUUUACAUAACUUACACUUUUAGUCCUUAAAUACCAUACGAAUUGAGCAUGUUUUAUCUCUCCUUCUGAGAUCAUUAAAUGGGUCAUUAAAUAUAGGGACUAUAAGCAACUGUCAAUAUUGAUUAGGGUAGUUCAAUGUUAACAUUGUUGAUUUUUGAAGCUUUAUUAUGAACUUGGAAGCAAAGGCGCCACACACUGAAAUUAAGGAGAUCCAAAGACUUACUUUGAUAAUAGAAAAUUCAUAGCGAUUAUCAUAGGUUCAUAUGAUAUCACAUUAAUUGUUAUGCAAAACUUAUUCUUGUGAGUUCUCAAAGGUAGUUAUCCUCUCUAUUCAUCCCACAGAACCAAUGGCUCCAGUCUGAUUUAAACAUGGGUCCGUGCUCACACACUCAAUACCUACCCUCUGUGCUCACAAGUCCUGUGUGAGUAAGACUCCAAAUUAUUCUGUCUUGUUUUACUCAAUGGUAUGCUCUACCUUAUUAUAGAGUAUACCAUGUAUUGAGACAAGAAUGCCAGUCAUUCUGAGAAACAAAAUGCAACCAUUAGUUGUCAUUUUAAUUAGUGACGAAUAGUUGUGUCAAUCAUCAAACAUGCUUGUAUAAUUGGAUGAGAAGAGGUGUAACACGGGCCAAUGAUGACGAGGUUUCGGGAUUAUAAGUCACGGACGAUGACUACGUCACUAGAGGUCUGAGGUCCAUAGCAGAAGAUGCCUCAUGUGACCCUCUCAUGCAGGGGUUGCAUGUCAGGCAUGUGCAUACAGUAGAUAUUAGCCAUGCACUCUCACCAUUUCAUAGUAGAUCACAGAAUCAAGAUACAAAUCUCCAUGCACGGAAAGGAUUUAAGGCAUUGAUCAAUCCUGAACAUAAAUAUUUGGCCAUCAAUGAUAUUUACGCACACACUGAAAAAUCUAUUCAGAAUGACUUACACAAAGGUUUAUAUAACCUUUAUCAAAGGUAAUUUAUAUAGUAAGAUUCAUGGCUGAAGUCUUCAUGAUGGUCAAGGCCUUAAUUUUUAAAAUUAUCAAUUUUUUUCUUUUCUUUUUUUUUAACUUGAAUUUUUUUUUAAUGAAAACUAUCAUGACAAUUUGUCUCUUAAAUGAAAGGAGAAAUGUAAAACUAAAUGGACAAAUAUCAACCUUUUUAUUAUCUUUGCUGUUGUGCCCUCCCUGGAUGGGUGCUGGCACAUGAUGUCUUGCCUGCUGGUCCGUGGUUGCACUCUCACCAUGUGGAUGGAGCUCGGCAGCUGAAAAUGCAUUCUUCCACCAAGAUGAUUUACACAGCCUAGCUGGAUCAGGAGCCCCCUAAUAAGCUGCUUCAGAUUGUAAUAUAGACACAGUAAUGUAUGCCUGCAGGAUGAGUCCCACCUUCUUCAUUAGUCUUGAGGUUUGAGAUUCCCUGUUUGUGUCUGCAGGAUUCAGAUAGUGUGAGUAUAGUCUGUGUUCUUGUGUUGGAAUUCUUUUGCUUGCAUAAAAACAGGGUAGAAAAUAUUUCUGGGGCUGGUGAGAUGGCUCAGAGGUUGAGAGCACUGACUGUUCUCCCUGAUGUCCUGAGUUCAAUUCCCAGCAACCCCAUGGUGGCUCACAACCAUCUGUAAGGGCUCUGAUGCACUCUUCUGGUGUGUCUGAUGACAGCAGCAGUGUACUCCUGUUCCUAAAAUAAAUAAUUAUUUUAAAUACAUUAUUAUCUCUGAAGAGCAGAUGUAGCCAUAGGCAUAUAAGAUGUAUAUGAAGCACAAUGUUUAAUAAAAUUUUACCAAAUUAAGAUUGUGCAACAAUAGAGAUAGGCAUCAGUGCAGAAGAUCCCGUAGAGGUUUAACUGCACUCACGGAUCUUAUAGUUAGGGCUUGUCUCCAGUGGAGAUUUUCGCAAUGGUCCUAGUCAUCCAUUGCUCAAUAAUUUUACAUAGAUUAGUAGGGAAGAGGAGGACUGAUGUUGGAUCAAUGAUGAAUGUCUGUGAGCAUUCUUAGAGUCAUGAAUCAUGACGACAAAUUUAAUUCUGAGAUCAACAUCAUAAAGUAUCCAGUGACAGCUAUAAGAAGUAGUCUUCUUUUAUAAGUCAGUAAAUGUAAAUAAAAAUUGACUAGGAAGUCAUUUAAUCAAAAGGCAGCUCACAAAGAAGACUACAUAUAUGUAUAUAUGUAUAUAUGUAAGAAGAAAGUGUGACAGAGUAAUGACCAUGGAGGUGAGGGAUAAGAUGAAAUGAGCAGAAGCAGGCAGAAUACAUAGAUAAGCGAACGGAACAUCAAUCUCUUUAUAACCUCUUCUGUCUAUACUUCAAGAAUGGAUAUCCUGCAAGUCGGCUUCGUAGAGUCUCCCUUGAAAGUGGACCUCAUGAUCUAGCCUUUAUGUCCGUGGAUUGACACUGUGAUGGAUUCCCCCCAAGUUCAUUUAGAUAUUCUCUCUUAUUCAUAAAUGUCACGGUCAGCUCUGUUCUUAUAGAUACCAGGUGAGUAUAGCCAACGUUCUUUUGUUGCUUCAUGUUGCUUUUUAAUGGCUGUGCAUAUACUGAGAAAAGAAAGUCCAGUUAUUAUCUGGGAAGAGCAUCCCGCUUAAAGUGUUAAAUGGCAGUUAGAUGAAACAGAAUGUUUAUGAGUAUUUCCAGAAGAGGAAUGUAUAACAGAAAAGAUUCUAAUCAUGGCAAAAGAUCCUGAGGACCUUCAGAGUACACGCAACGAUCUUGUCCUUAGAUUGUGUCAUUUAUUAUCAUCUUAGAGGCACUAGUGAGAUUAAUUGCUCAAAAAAAAAAAAAAACCAUUGAUAAAUCAAUAGAGAAGGAUAGAGCUGAGGUUGGGUCACUGAAGACACACUGUGUGUAGGAGUCUGAGGUCCAUAUUAUGAAUAUAGUUUGUACCCAUAUUCUUAGACAAAAAUGGGAAAGGCUUAUGGGAAACAACACUAUUUUUUAUUUAAUUGAACAUCUUAAAUUUUAAUUGUCAAGUAAUUUUCUAAGUAAGAUAUCAUUCUAUAGAAAGUGUACUAAAAUUACAUACCAAACUCAGUAGUUAAUAAACAGUGGUUAAUUGAGCUUGCCAUGUAAUGUGUUACUUGGUAGGUUCAUAGCCAUAGCCAUUUCUUUUCUCAUAAAAUAUUCAUUAUAGUAUGCCAUACACUUAGAUGAGUGACAAAAAGCACAGGGCUGUGAAUGCAAUGGUCUGUAGACAGAGUGUCAUGGGUUUUCUUUAAUAAUUUCUUCUGCUUUUGCUCUCAGAAUGGAUACCCCAAGGUAAGCUAUGGUCAUCACCUUCACAAUCUGAUUCCUUACAAGUGUAUUCAGUGUGCAUGUCUUUCUUGACAUUGCAUCUAAAGAUUGGGUACUGUAUUGUUGAAACCCUAGUUAUGACCCAUUGGUUAAUAUGACAUGUAUGUAAAUACAAUAUUUCACAAAA